GAUGAACGCUGGCGGCGUGCCUAAUACAUGCAAGUCGAGCGAACGGACGAGAAGCUUGCUCUUCUGAUGUUAGCGGCGGACGGGAGAGUAACACGUGGAUAACAUAACUAUAAGACUGGGAUAACUUCGGGAAACCGGAGCUACUACCGGAUAAUAUUUUGAACCGCAUGGUUCACAAGUGAAAGAAGGUCUUGCUGUCACUUAUAGAUGGAUCAGCGCUGCAUUAGCUAGUUGGUAAGGUAACGGCUUACCAAGGCAACGAUGCAUAGCCGACCUGAGAGGGUGAUCGGCCACACGGUAUCUGAGACACGUUCCAGACUCCUACGGGAGGCAGCAGUAGGGAAUCUUCCGCAAUGGGCGAGAGCCUGACGUAGCAACGCCGCGUGAGUGAUGAUGGUCUUCUGCUCGUAAAACUCUGUUAUUAGGGAAGUACAUAUGUGUAAGUAACUGUGCACAUCUUGACGGUACCGAAUCAGAAAGCCACGGCUAACUACGUG
rnacentral:rRNA from 1 species